rnacentral:rRNA from 1 species
GACGAACGCUGGCGGCGUGCCUAAUACAUGCAAGUCGAACGAACCGCGACUAGGUGCUUGCACUUGGUCAAGGUGAGUGGCGAACGGGUGAGUAACACGUGGGUAACCUACCUCAUAGUGGGGGAUAACAGUCGGAAACGACUGCUAAUACCGCAUAGGACAUAGGAUCACAUGAUUCUGUGAGGAAAGGUGGCGCAAGCUAUCGCUAAGAGAUGGACCCGCGGUGCAUUAGCUAGUUGGUAGGGUAAAGGCCUACCAAGGCGAUGAUGCAUAGCCGACCUGAGAGGGUGAUUGGCCACAUUGGGACUGAGACACGGCCCAAACUCCUACGGGAGGCAGCAGUAGGGAAUCUUCCGCAAAGGACGCAAGUCUGACGGAGCAACGCCGCGUGAGUGAAGAAGGUCUUCGGAUCGUAAAGCUCUGUUGUUAGAGAAGAACAGCGCAUAGAGUAACUGUUAUGCGUGUGACGGUAUCUAACCAGAAAGCCACGGCUAACUACGUG